UACGUAGGGUGCAAGCGUUAAUCGGAAUUACUGGGCGUAAAGCGUGCGCAGGCGGUUCUAUAAGACAGAUGUGAAAUCCCCGGGCUCAACCUGGGAACUGCAUUUGUGACUGUAGAGCUGGAGUACGGCAGAGGGGGAUGGAAUUCCGCGUGUAGCAGUGAAAUGCGUAGAGAUGCGGAGGAACACCGAUGGCGAAGGCAGCCCCCUGGGCUGACACUGACGCUCAGGCACGAAAGCGUGGGGAGCAAACAGG
rnacentral:rRNA from 1 species